GGGCCCGUAGCUUAGCAAGGAAGAGCAAAACUUGCGCCUAAAGCACCGGGCUUUUAACCCGGGGGUCAGGGGUUCAAUUCCCCUCGGGCCCGCCA
rnacentral:tRNA from 2 species